rnacentral:rRNA from 1 species
UGGGGAAUUUUGGACAAUGGGCGAAAGCCUGAUCCAGCAAUGCCGCGUGUGUGAAGAAGGCCUUCGGGUUGUAAAGCACUUUUGUCCGGAAAGAAAUCCUUGGCUCUAAUACAGUCGGGGGAUGACGGUACCGGAAGAAUAAGCACCGGCUAACUACGUGCCAGCAGCCGCGGUAAUACGUAGGGUGCAAGCGUUAAUCGGAAUUACUGGGCGUAAAGCGUGCGCAGGCGGUUUUGUAAGACGGAUGUGAAAUCCCCGGGCUUAACCUGGGAACUGCAUUCGUGACUGCAAGGCUAGAGUAUGGCAGAGGGGGGUAGAAUUCCACGUGUAGCAGUGAAAUGCGUGGAGAUGUGGAGGAAUACCGAUGGCGAAGGCAGCCCCCGUGGGCCAAUACUGACGCAUCAUGCACGAAAGCGUGGGAGCAACAGGAUUAGAUACCCUGGUAGUCCACGCCCUAAACGAUGUCAACUAGUUGUUGGGAUUCAUUUCCCUUAGUAACGUAGCUUAACGCGUGAAAGUUGACCCGCCUGGGGAGUACGGUCGCAAGAUUAAAACUCAAAGGAAUUGACGGGGAUCAUAGCUGUUUCC